rnacentral:lncRNA from 1 species
GUGUAGAUUGAUUAAUUUUAAAAUAUAAGAUGACUGUGGAUGUUAGUCUUCCAUGCGUUUAACACCGGCCCAAAGGAAGGUGUUAUUUGGUAGGAAUUCGAACAUGCUUGUGGUGGUAAAUAUGAGACAAUUAUUUGGUUUUCCAUGUGAAUAUUAAAUCGGCCCAAAGGAAGGUUAGAUAUUUGACAGGAGUUUACUGUCUAUGUUUGAUCACUACACCAAGAGUACGACUUACAAGUUGUUUAUCUGUCCAAAGACUAAAAUCAAUGUUGUGCUAGGUAUCUUGUAAUGGGAUAUGCCUAUUUUG